CCUGCAGACAUAAGAAAGUCCUUGAUCAAGGGACAUUACUCUUAUGUUACGAUGAAAAAUGCUGAAAAUACUGAAAAUGAGAAAAAUUCUAUUGAAAAACAGAAUGAAAUGGUUUCAAGUAAAGGCAGUGACGUAGAUAUCGACCACGUUCUUUUAAAACAAAGAUUUUCUCGUAAUGAGCUGGUACUGCGGUUUUUAUCGUUAUUGUGUCUGUGUUUUAUGUUUGGCCUGUUUCUAAUACAGCUGGAUAUUAUGUGGAGAUCCCGAGAGUCAAUAUUAAUGGAGAUGUUGCUAAGAGACACUCAGCAGUUAUAUUUCCGGUACCCAGAUUUUUAUGACAUUGCUCAUAAUGAGGACACUUGGUGCUGGGACCCAGAUACUUUACUACUUAAAGUGAAUACAUCGUUCUUCGUUCACUGAUACAUGCCGGGUACCUGUACCCAUUGAUUUAGUCAUAUGUUUACAAAGCUAGUUGUGUUUGGUUCUGUCAUCAGUAUUCAUGUAUGGUUCUAGAGUGUCCAUAUGCUAGUUUAUAUUCCAUGAAGGAUUUAAUAUAUUCACCGCACAGAGGAAGCAUAUCAGGAAUUUUUGGUGGUCAAGAAAAUCUGGAAAAAGGAUCACUUUUAUACCUCAACAGUGCAAAUGUGACAAAAGGAAUCGAGACAAAAGAAAGUAAAUGUUCAGACAUGGGAAGAUUUACCUCCCUUGGACUGAUGCGGAGGAGUCUAUGCAGGAUAUUUACCACUUUUUCUUUAGUCCUUAAUUAAAUUUUACAGGUCUCCAUUGAAACUAGGAAAGUUUAGAUUUACCUGAGAGGAACGGAUACUAGUAUUAGAAAUAUAAUUUAGAGUUAGUUAAAGAUAGUUGUAUAAUAGCUAUAUAGAAAAUUAAGUUAAUUACAAAGUAUGAAUUACUUUUACUAAGUUGCGUUAAUUCUUGAAAGUCUGGUAAAUUAUUUAAAUUAUCGUUAAAAAGUUGAAGAAGAAGAUUGAGUUAGUUAUUGAAAGUUGAGUUAAUUUAAGAAAGUUGAGUUAAUUUUAGAUACAAAGAUGGAUUUGUGACCAAACAAAUUAUUUGUUCAAAAAACAAGAUUAUUACAAUCAUGCACUUUAAUCUUUUCAAUCAAAAUAUUCGAUAUCAUAACAAAAGUUUUGUAAGAUUUGUGGUCACGCUACUUUUGAUUUAUCUUUGAUUUGCAGGCUCUACUUUUCUUAGUCAUUUAUAUUGGAAAAUGCCACAAACAUUCCAACUACAUGUAUUCUUGCUCUUGAAAACAAGUUUUUGCCAUUAAUUUCUUCGAUAACAAGUUGUCAAAAAGACAUUGCAUUAACGAAAAGGUUAUUUCAAAUAGUCUGAAUUUCUAUAAUGUUUUAUUUAAAGGUUUCUGAAGUUAUGUACCUGCAGUGUAAAUGAUUUCAUGUUAAAAGUUUAGAUGUUCUUAAUAUAUAGAGGUUUGAUGCCGGCAUCAAAUAUAUGAAGGCGACCUGUAUAAUACAUGUAUAAUUAUGUUUGUUUGUGGACGUAUUUUUGCUAGUCAUUGGGUCAGUGUGUCUACAUUAUCAAUAACAUAUUUGUAGAUGUUGUGAUUUAUUGUGUCGCCUCUACGGAGUAGUGGCGACAUAUAGGGAUCACUUCUCCGUCGUCUGUCUGUCCAUCUGUCUGUCCGUCCGUCCGUACGUCACAAAACUUGUCCGGACUACUCCUCAUAAACUACUGGUGCAAUUUCAUCCAAACUUUACAGGAAUGAUCAGUACCAAGUCUAGUUGUGCAUAUUGUCAGCAUUUCCGGUUCAAUGAUUUUUGUCAGAGUUAUGGCCCUUUAAUAAUUUUUAAUUUUAAAGUUUGUCCGGACUACUUCUCUUAUACCACUAAUGCAAUUUCAAUGAAACUUUACAGGAUUGAUCUGUAGCUCAAGUCCUUGCGCAUAUUGCACGGGUUUUCCGGUUGAAUGAUUUUUGGCCGAGUUAUGGCCCUUUGAUAAAAAGGUUUCUUUUUCUGUGUGUUGCCAGAUACACAAAAGCUUGUCCGGACUACUCCUCAUAAACUACAGGUGCAAUUUCAUCCAAACUUUACAGGAAUGAUCAGUACCAAGUCUAGUUGUGCAUAUUGUCAGCAUUUUCCGGUUCAAUGAUUUUUGUUUGAGUUAUGGCCCUUUAAUAAUUUUUAUUUUUAAAGUUUGUCCGGACUACUUCUCUUAUACCACUAAUGCAAUUUCAAUGAAACUUUACAGGAUUGAUCUGUAGCUCAAGUCCUUGCGCAUAUUGCACGGGUUUUCCGGUUGAAUGAUUUUUGGUUGAGUUAUGGCCCUUUGAUAAAAAGGUGUUUUUUUUCUGUGUGUUGCCAGAUACGCAAAAGCUUGUCCGGACUACUCCUCAAAAACUACUGGUGCAAUUUUAUCCAAACUUUACAGGAAUGAUCAGUACCAAGUCUAGUUGUGCACUGUCCGUCUGUCUGUCCGUCUGUCACAAAAUUUGUCCAAACAUGAAAUUGGCCAUCAUGUGGCGACACAUGUAAAUACUGAUCGCUCUUGUUACAAAUAACUGUCAAUUAAGGAUAAAAGACCCUAAUAAACAUGUUAUUAUACUGAUAUUUUUUCAAUUAAUGAUGUAUCAGUCGUAAACAUGGUCUCUCAUGACAAAAAUGUACGAAAGAUAAGUAUUUAAAGAAUAAAACUGUUAAGAGAAGGCAGAAGUAGUUUCAUUAGGAUGUUACAUAAGAAUAGUCCUUAAACACAAAGUCGUGUUCAAAAGUGUUCAUUUAUUCCUUAAAGGGACUCCAAUGAAGUCCAGCAAUUGUCAUGACAGGACUGGAAAUAUUUUUUUCGUGAUUCUAAUACCAUAUGAGUAUGGUCUAUACCAAUAAUUUGAAUGCAAAAUUUCAGAUCAUUCUGUAACUCUGUUUUCCAGAAGAAUAAUUCUUUAUUGUACAAGAAGGCCUAAAAAUUUCAAAGUUAAUUGAUUUUACUCAUAUUGGGCAAAUAAAGCGCUAAGUAUUGUUUGUCAAUUUGCUUCUUAGUAUUUUUCUUCAAUAUUAUAUUUUUUCAUGUUUUUAACAUUUUAUGUGCCCUUGUUGAUCUUUGUCAGCUUUUCAAAUUUUAUGAUUUUAGACUUUGGAACUAAGUGGAGCUCCUUAACAUAGCAGUAUGUAAAGUUCUUCUUAAAUGUUUAUUGAGCUAGAUACUUUCAAGGAUUUAACCUUUUUAGUUAAAAAAAUAGUAUUAUGCAUCUUUAUAUACUGAAGUUUGAACAAUAGAACAAUAUGCAUAUGAGCCGCGUCACGCCAAAACCAACAUAGUGCGUUUGCGACCAGCAUGGAUCCAGACCAGCCUGCGCAUCCGCGCAGUCUGAUCAGGAUCCAUGCUGUUCGCUAUCAGUUUCUCUACUUGUUAUAUGGUCUGUAAGCGAACAGCAUGGAUCCUGAUCAGACUGCGCGGAUGCGCAGGCUGGUCUGGAUCCAUGCUGGUCGCAAACCCAUUAUGUUGGUUUUGUCAUGACACGGCUCAUAUACUUAUUUUGUCUGGUCAGUCUGUGUCCCAAACAAAUUACCUUUUACACGAAGUUGAUGCAAGAUGAAUAUUAAUUAUGCAUUCACUAAACCAGAACUUUCAUAUCUGUUCACCAUUAUACAUCAUUUGAUGGCAGCUUCCUUGAUAUACAUGGAAAUAAAACCUUGACCCUUAAAUAAUCUUGACCUUUCAAGGUCAAAUUUUCAAUAUUCAGGAAAUUUAAAUACCGUACAAAUUUAGUUCUGUGGGAUGAUGCAUUUCAUUGUUGGUUACAUGACAGUAAUCUUAAAAUUCCCAUCAACUUUAAAAAAACAACACUUUUUCUGUCUUUCAUAACAAGAGGUAUUUACUUCAAACAUUGUUCACUUUAAUCUCCCACAUAUCAUAUGACAUGGUUUAUUUACAUGAUAAGGGGAAGGGAACCUUCCCAUUAAUUCGGGGAAACAUAGCCCCGUAUUUUUGAAAAAGUGCGAGAAAAUUACACUUUCUGUAAACUGAAUUUUACGGAGAAGCAACCCUUAAACAGCCCUUGCUGUAAAAGAAACAAAAGCCCUGGCAGUUUGUUUUAAAGAAUUAUCUCUGGCUUCCAUUAUGGAACUGACAAGUUUGAAUUUUAUGAGUAUCAGGAUUGAAAAUUCAAGAUAAUCAGGCAACAGCUAAUAGAGCCUUGGCACACUAUGCGUAUAUUCAGACUAGCCUGGCUCUGAUAAGACUGGUGGCAAAGGCUAAUUACUUUUAAUCCCAGCAGGAUAUUGGUUUACACUUAAUAAUAUUUAUGCUAUUUGAGCCGUGUCAUGACAAAACCAACAUAAUGGGUUUGCAACCAGCAUGGAUCCAGACCAGCCUGCGCAUUCGCGCAUUCUGAUCAGGAUCCAUGCUGUUCGCUAUCAGUUUCUCUACUUGUAAUAGAGUUGGUAAGCGAACAGCAUGGAUCAGACUGUGCGAAUGCGCAGGCUGGUCUGGAUCCAUGCCGGUCACAAACGCACUAUGUUGGUUUUGUCUUGACGCGGCUCAUUUAUACUUGAACUACACAGCCAUGUUUGUUAGAGGGUAAAAUUUGUUUUAUGUGGUUGUUUAUGUUUUAUACAGCACAUGUAAUACAGUGCAGCCUCUGUAGAGCAACCCUUGAUAAACCAAUAACCUCUGUACAUCAGACAUAAACAAUCUUUCUACUUAGUAAGACUUCACAAUAGAUUUAACCCCUCUAAAGCAACGCCAGCAAAAUCUGUCUCUCAAAGGGGGUUGCUUGGCAGAGACUGUACUGUACCGCACAUGACAUGGCGCUUUGAUUAUAUCACUUUUGUCUGUUUUAAGACAGAAGAAUAUAGUAAUAUAGAAUUGUGUUUAUUUGUUAAAGUGACAUUAUGCUCAUUUUUUCAGAAGUUGAGCUACAUUGACUACAUAUUUCAAAACAUUGACUGUAAUAAUGGUGAUUGACCCACAGUUGAUUUUGGAAAAUAUUUAGGAUAAAAUAUAAAUCUGUCUAAAAUAUAAAAGA